GAAAGCGGGGGCCUUGGAAGGUGUGCCAUUAUCAGGGUGCUUGGGAGACCAAUCUGCUGCCUUAGUUGGACAAAUGUGUUUCCAAGAUGGACAGGCCAAAAAUACG